GUAGGGUGCAAGCGUUAAUCGGAAUUACUGGGCGUAAAGCGUGCGCAGGCGGUUUUGUAAGACAGUGGUGAAAUCCCCGGGCUCAACCUGGGAACUGCCAUUGUGACUGCAAGGCUGGAGUGCGGCAGAGGGGGAUGGAAUUCCGCGUGUAGCAGUGAAAUGCGUAGAUAUGCGGAGGAACACCGAUGGCGAAGGCAAUCCCCUGGGCCUGCACUGACGCUCAUGCACGAAAGCGUGGGGAGCAAACAGGAUUAGAUACCCUGGUAGUCCACGCCCUAAACGAUGUCAACUGGUUGUUGGGAAUUUAUUUUCUCAGUAACGAAGCUAACGCGUGAAGUUGACCGCCUGGGAGUACGGCCGCAAGGUUA
rnacentral:rRNA from 1 species